rnacentral:rRNA from 1 species
UAAUACGAAGGGGGCUAGCGUUGCUCGGAAUCACUGGGCGUAAAGCGCACGUAGGCGGCUUUCUAAGUCAGGGGUGAAAUCCUGGAGCUCAACUCCAGAACUGCCUUUGAUACUGGGAAGCUUGAGUCCGGGAGAGGUGAGUGGAACUGCGAGUGUAGAGGUGAAAUUCGUAGAUAUUCGCAAGAACACCAGUGGCGAAGGCGGCUCACUGGCCCGGUACUGACGCUGAGGCGCGAAAGCGUGGGGAGCAAAC